rnacentral:rRNA from 1 species
UACGUAGGCAGCGAGCGUUGUUCGGAAUUACUGGGCGUAAAGAGUGUGUAGGCGGUGCUCUAAGUUCGGUGUGAAAUCUCCUGCUUAACUGGGAGGGUGCGCCGGAAACUGGAGUGCUUGAGCGUGGGAGAGGAAAGCGGAAUUCCUGGUGUAGCGGUGAAAUGCGUAGAUAUCGGGAGGAACACCAGUGGCGAAGGCGAUCAUCUGGGGGUUGUUCUGACACUGAGGAGCGAAAGCUAGGGGAGCAAACGGG